UACAGAGGUCCCGAGCGUUGUUCGGAUUCACUGGGCGUAAAGGGUGCGUAGGUGGCAUGGUAAGUUUGAUGUGAAAGCUCAGGGCUCAACCCUGAAAUGGCAUUGAAUACUACUGUGCUGGAGGUUUGGAGGGGGGACUGGAAUUCUUGGUGUAGCAGUGAAAUGCGCAGAUAUCAGGAGGAACACCGAUGGCGAAGGCAGGUCUCUGGGCCACUACUGACGCUGAGAAGCGAAAGCAUGGGGAGCGAACAGG
rnacentral:rRNA from 1 species